AAAUAGGAAUCAUUCACGACUUUUCACGCGUGGCGGCGCUGCGGUUCCAUAAGUGGUUACUUGAACGCUUCAAUCACGUAAAACGCUUGCAUCUGUAUUUACAACGUAAACAAUGGCAUCCGAUGAUUACAUCACCUGGUCUGUUCCAGAACUAACGUUACAUGGAGCUGUCACAAGAGACAGAACUAUAGAUCUUAUAGAAAGAAUCAGUUAGAGGAGCCAAAAUGUAUAAGCUUAGGUUCAAAACAUUCUGGAGGAGCAGAUUGUGUGAAGAAGCCAGCAGAAGUCAAGAGAAAUAAAAAGAAUGGAACAAAAGAAAAAAUGAAAAAGAACAGUGAAAUGACAAAAUUAAAUAAAAUUUUUGCAUUUCU